ensembl:lncRNA
GUGAGGGACUGUGGUUGGCACAGCGGUAGGGUUCUACAGUGAGGGUCUGAGGUUGGCCCAGCGGGAGGGUUCUACAGUGAGGGACUGAGGUUGGCCCAGCGGUAGGGUUUUACAGUGAGGGUCUGAGGUUGGCCAAGCGGUAGGGUUCUACAGUGAGGGACUGUGGUUGGCCCAGCGGUAGGGUUCUACAGUGAGGGACUGAGGUUGGCCCAGCGGUAGGGUUUUACGGUGAGUGACUGAGGUUGGCCCAGCAGUAGGGUUUUACGGUGAGGGACUGAGGUUGGCUCAGCGGUAGGGUUCUACAGUGAGGGACUGAGGUUGGCCCAGCGGUAGGGUUUUACAGUGAGGGAC